UAAAACAGCCAUAUCACCCUGCAGCCCAAGACUGGCCCACUGAAGCUGAGCAGGGCUGAGCUGGUCAGUAGCUGGAUGAGAGGCUCCUGGAAAACUGUGUUGCUGCUGGAA
rnacentral:rRNA from 1 species